rnacentral:rRNA from 1 species
CCGGUCUCAGUUCGGAUCGCAGUCUGCAACUCGACUGCGUGAAGGUGGAGUCGCUAGUAAUCGCGGAUCAGCAACGCCGCGGUGAAUGCGUUCCCGGGCCUUGUACACACCGCCCGUCAAGUCAUGAAAGCGGGCAGCACCCGAAGACGGUGGCCUAACCCUUGUGGGGGGAGCCGUCUAAGGUGAGGCUCGUGAUUGGGACUAAGUCGUAACAAGGUACC